CAAUAGCCAAAAUGAUUGCAGUUUCAAUUUGUGUAACUUCUAAUUAAUUAUCUACUCUCCUCAGCUUUACUUGCUGCUCUUUGCUUUCUCUUUCUUGAUCAGUUUCAGAAAUCAUGCAAUGAAAGGAACAAGAAACACAAUCGAUUAUUGCAAAAAAAAAUUGAAUCUCAGAAUUUUCUCUAUUCAUCAAGCUUCUGGUAAUGAAACUGAACAAUUGCAUUAUUUUCUAAAUGAUUCAUUAUGGUUAUUAUUCUGAAAUAGUUUCUUGAAUUUAAUCGACUAGAUUUCUGUACAUUUUUCAAAAUUUCUGC
rnacentral:lncRNA from 1 species